rnacentral:tRNA from 1 species
GCCCCGAUGGUGUAGCCCGGUCAAUCAUUCAGCCCUCUCGAGGCUGAGACACGAGUUCAAAUCUCGUUCGGGGCA